AGGACGAACGCUGGCGGCGUGCUUAACACAUGCAAGUCGAGCGAGGCUCCUCCUUCGGGAGGAAGCCCUAGCGGCGAACGGGUGAGUAACACGUGGGCAACCUGCCCCUAGCACUGGGAUAACCCCGGGAAACCGGGGCUAAUACCGGAUACGACUUCGGAAGGCAUCUUCUGAAGUGGAAAAGGUUACUGGCUAGGGAUGGGCCCGCGGCCUAUCAGCUUGUUGGUGGGGUAAUGGCCCACCAAGGCGACGACGGGUAGCCGGCCUGAGAGGGCGACCGGCCACACUGGGACUGAGACACGGCCCAGACUCCUACGGGAGGCAGCAGUGGGGAAUAUUGCACAAUGGGCGAAAGCCUGAUGCAGCGACGCCGCGUGAGGGAUGACGGCCUUCGGGUUGUAAACCUCUUUCAGCAGGGACGAAGCGAAAGUGACGGUACCUGCAGAAGAAGCACCGGCCAACUACGUGCCAGCAGCCGC
rnacentral:rRNA from 1 species